rnacentral:misc_RNA from 1 species
GUGAAUCAUCGAAUUUUUGAACGCAAAUUGCGCUUCCUGGUAUCCCGGGGAGUAUGCCUGUUUGAGGGUCAGUAUUAACAAAAAAUCUUUUUGGUUGCAAAUUGUCUUGUUUCCGGAUUUUGGGCUGAUUUUAACUUUUUUGGUUAAGGGGCUUAAUAUUGAUCUUGUUUGCGCAUUUUUAUACGUACAUAAAUUUUUUUUUAUUCGUCUUUUCUUAAUGCUAAAUUCUUAUUAUAUGCGAUC